rnacentral:rRNA from 1 species
GAGUUUGAUCGUGGCUCAGAUUGAACGCUGGCGGCAGGCCUAACACAUGCAAGUCGAGGCGGUAGAGAGAAGCUUGCGUUCUCUUGAGAGCGGCGGACGGGUGAGUAAUGCCUAGGAAUCUGCCUGGUAGUGGGGGAUAACGCUCGGAAACGGACGCUAAUACCGCAUACGUCCUACGGGAGAAAGCAGGGGGACCUUCGGGCCUUGCGCUAUCAGAUGAGCCGUAGGUCGGAUUAGCUAGGUUGGUG